UACGUAGGUGACAAGCGUUGUCCGGAUUUACUGGGCGUAAAGAGCGCGCAGGCGGCGAUCAAGUCGAGUGUGAAAGCCCCCGGCUCAACUGGGGAGGGUCAUUCGAUACUGAUCGACUCGAAGGCAGGAGAGGGUAGUGGAAUUCCCGGUGUAGUGGUGAAAUGCGUAGAUAUCGGGAGGAACACCAGUGGCGAAGGCGACUACCUGGCCUGUUCCUGACGCUGAGGCGCGAAAGCUAGGGGAGCAAACGGG
rnacentral:rRNA from 1 species